rnacentral:misc_RNA from 1 species
CGGUUGGGUUCAGUUAACAGUUGAGUUUCUUCUUCAAUGAGCUUGAAAUGCACGUCUUUACCAAUCUAAGAACAAAAUCCUAAAUUUCCAGAUCUGUGCACUACAUCUUAAAAAUGGCAGUGGUCAUCGACGCCUCCAUUUGGGAACCCAAUCCUUCUCUGUAUCUCUUCAUUUUCAUCUGUUGCUUCUUCUCUAUCGCUCUCUUCCCACAUGCCUCAAGAACCAACAAUAGCAUCAACAAAUCUCAAUCUCCCUUCGAUCAUGGCAUCUCUUCUUCUUCUUCUUCUUUCCUUCGUUUCCAGCGAAAGUUCCUCUUUUUCUUCUCUCUCGCUUCAGUCAUGGAAGGGCUGUGGUCCGUGUUUGGAGAGUUUGAAUUGGCUAAAUAUGGAGUUAAUAAGGAGCAAAUCAUGACGUCUCUCUGUGUUGGAUAUGGUGCUGCUCUUCUUGUUGGUACCUUUUUAGGGAUGAUCUCUGAUUUAGUAGGUCACAAGAAAUCUUGUUUGAUCUUUUGCAUCCUACACCUCUGUGUUGGCAUAUGGAAGAGGAUUAUGCCACAUCCUAGCGUCUGGUUAGCAAGUACAUGUUUAUCCCUUGCCACCUCAAUAUUUUCUUUCAGUUUCGAGGCAUGGGUAGUUGUCGAAAAUGAAAAGCAAGGACAUGGACAAGAUACUUUGAGUGACACAUUUUGGUUAAUGACUUUCUUUGAGUCAGCAUCAUUAAUUGGAAGCCAGGUGCUUGCAAAUUGGCUGUUGGGUAGUAAUCUGGAAAAAGGCUUUGCAUCUUGUUACACUGCAGCCAUCUUUCUGGCAAUGAUAGGUAUCGUCUAUGUCAACAAAGGAUGGAAAGAAACCACACAAGAUGCUGCCAUUAAAGAUUAUAGGGUAUCUUACAUACAUAUCUUUACUGGUAAGAUUUUAUAUUUUUUCAUGACAGUUCCUGGUUUUAAUUGAUGCAAACAGUUAAUUGUGUUUCAACAUUUAAAUCUAAAAUUUUUUCAGUAAUGGUGCAUGCAUUGUACCAUAUUGAGGUACUGCAGUUAUUUAGAUUAAGAAAAUUGAAUGUCUUUGCUAAAACCAUUUUACUGUAAACCUAAAGAAGGAUUAUGCAUUCUGUUUUACUUAAUACUGCACUUUAAAAGCUAUAAUUGAUGGUUUAACUUAUAAUUUUUCUUUGAUCUACUAUUGCUUUUCCCUGUUGUGAAGGGUUCUAGGUUAUUAAUUAUCUUUCCAAUGGUAACCCUUUUCUGUUCACUUACACUCUUUUCAUACAGCUUAACUAGAUUAUGCCUCCUCAUUGCUGCUUUACAUUAAUAAGAUCAGAAGAAAACUUCCAAAGGUUGAACCAUUUGUGCUAGUUUGCAGCUGACUUUGGGAUUUUUUAUUUUUAUUAUAAAUGAAAACAUGGACAUUUUUACCUGCAGUUCAAAGGAUUGAUUUAAUCGUGACAUUACUCUAGUAGGAUUGAUAUGUGGUUAUUCAUUAAAAAGUCUCAGUGUGACAUGAGUUUCAAUUUUUUUUUUAAUGACUAUUUGUAUUUAAGCAUCUGUUUUCUGACAGUUCUAAUUUUUGAAUUCUCAUUCUUGUGCAGUAUGCUUAGCAAAUUGCAUCAUUUAUAAUUGACCAUAACCUGUGCUUUUUACUAAACAUAAAAAACUUUCAAACUUUGCACUGUUGGAACUGCCUUGAUCAAUUUUACAUUUGUACGUGUUUUGAUCAACAUGGACAUAUUGAUGGUCAUAUGUUUCAAGAAAAUUUUCAAGAUGUAUUGAUGUUGUUAAAGAUAGAGCCAGGGAAAGUUUACUUUAAUAUGCAUUCGGUUUUAUUCUUCUUUUAUGCUGUAAUAAUAUAAUGAGAGUGUUCUUCUCAGUUCUCAUUGUUGGUGAUCUUCUAAUAUCCACCAGAUAAACGAAUGUGGCUACUGGGAUGUGCACACGCUUGCCUUCAGUUCUCUAUUGCUGUCUUCUGGAUUAUGUGGGCCCCAACAUUGGUGGUAGAUCACUUGUUUGUUUAUAUAAAAGAUUGUUAAAUGCUUUCACUAUUGGUUUCUGAUAUCUGAGUUUCCUCCUUAUCAUCCUGGAAUUAUUUUUCCCCCGUUGAUCAAUUGGCUUUUUACGUAUCUACCUGAUCUUUUAAAAUGUUGAUUUCAACAUUUAAAUAUAGACAUCUGACAUAAUCUAUUGAGGGUAAUUUCUAUGGUUACUUUGUUUAAAACAAAGUUUAAAACAAAGUAAGAUUACUUUGUUUUAUAAAUAAAAAAUAAAAAAUCAAACAUUACGAAAUUUGUAUAUUUUCUAAUAAAUUUUACAUAAAGCAACAUUUAGUUUUCAUAAAGCAAUUAUUUCAUAAAAAAGCAUAUUAGGUUUAACCAAAAAAUGAUGAUACUUCACAGAAAA